UACGUAGGGUGCAAGCGUUGUCCGGAAUUAUUGGGCGUAAAGAGCUCGUAGGCGGUUUGUCGCGUCUGCUGUGAAAACUCGGGGCUUAACUCCGGGCCUGCAGUGGGUACGGGCAGACUAGAGUGCGGUAGGGGAGACUGGGAAUUCCUGGUGUAGCGGUGAAAUGCGCAGAUAUCAGGAGGAACACCGGUGGCGAAGGCGGGUCUCUGGGACGUGACUGACGCUGAGACGCGAAAGCGUGGGGAGCGAACAGG
rnacentral:rRNA from 1 species